rnacentral:lncRNA from 1 species
AUGGCUUGUUUUCUGUGUGUGCGAUAGGUGAGUAGUGUAAAAUUUGCCAAGGUUGGCUGAGGACAGAUAAGAGUUGCAAAUGCAUUAUAAUGAAGGAAGCGGUCAUGCUCAAGCUGUUCUUUAUCUCCUCCUCAUUUUGUAAUAAAAAUGAGUGUUUGGAACGGGACCCAGAGGAAUACAAUACUACGUUUCCUGCAUUAAAGAGGAAGUUGGCGCAAAGGAAGGAGGAGCAGGAAGCAGGCUAUGUCCAGGCAUGUAAUGUACUGUACUGUAUCUCUGUAUGGUACAGACUAGAGAAGUCCAACUCCUAAACCCUGUUCACUGACUCCACACUGCCAGGUACUGUAACCUCUUACCACUGCCUCUCAGCCCCUGAGCUCCCCUCUGAUUAAUCCCAGCAGCACCUGCAUCUUUUUUAAUGCUAGCAUUACUGCACUUGUAUCCCUUCCAAAAAGGGUUGAGGAAACUGUAAAAGCUGCACUUUUAAUUUCAUUUUUUUUUGCUAAGGGAGGAGAAUUGUACAUUUUGGUAUUACGUAAAAGUUCCAGGGUUUUAAGAAAAAUAAAUGUUGUGGUUGCAUUUGCAGAAUGUGUGUCAGAAGGAGUUCAGUAGAGGGAGGUGCAGAAACAGUAGUCAGCUUUGGGCAUUGUGCCAGCCAGAAGAUAAAUGUAGCCUAGGUGUCCAAUUCAUUUUUGUUAUUCAAAAGCCAUAAUUAAGAGCUGAGAAUGUUCUCUACAGAUCCAUUUCCCCAAUUAAAUAUUGCAUUAUUUAGUUUGGUACAUAGCUAUUAGAUAGUAAUUACACAAUGUAAUUUGAAAAGUGGAUACCAGUUGCUGAUUGUGAUCAGAAUGUAUAUAUUGACAUGGUGGUGCAUUAAUACUUAGUCCAGUUAUGUUGCCCAUGGUCUCCUUUCUGAGAUUAGCAUGCAGUAAAUGUGUGAGACCUUUGGGGGGGGGGGGGGGGGGGGGGGGGGGGGGGGGGGGGGGGGGUGGACUAUUCCUGCUCCCUCACCAGGCUGUUCUCUUCACAAAUCAUCCCUCUGAGACAAAUUAAUCCUGGGGUUCAUAUCCAAAAGGCGCCUUAACAGCUUCUACCCCCAAGCCAUAAGACUGCUGAACAAUUCAUCAAAUGGCCACCCGGACUAUUUACAUUGACAACCCACCCUUUUGUUUUUACGCUGCUACUACUCGCUGUUUAUUAUAUAUGCAUAGUCACUUUACCCCUACCUACAUUUAUUAACUCUACCUAUAUGUACAUAUUACAUCAAUUACCUCAACUAACCGGUGCCCCCGCAUUCUGACUCUGUACCAGUAGCCCCUGUAUAUAGUCUCGCUAUUGUUAUUUUACUGCUGCUCUUUAAUUGCUUGUUCCUUCUAUUUCUUAUUCUUAUUCAUAUUUUUUAAACU